rnacentral:lncRNA from 1 species
AUAUCCAUGGUUUCUUGCUUCAGAUGCUGCACAUAUAUGGAGAUUGGAUAUUUAUGAAUCCAGUGAACGGAACAAUACAAACUGAACAAAUGUAAAAUUAGUAAUGGAUAAAACCAAUCAUAGUGAACAAAUCUGUAACACCACAGGCUCUAGCAAAACUAAGACUCCUACUACAAGAACCCUAACGUUCUUGCAAAAUUUGUAGCUGGACACAAACCAUAGUCAAUUCUAUGGCUUACCACCUCAGCAAUUCUUGAGAUCAAAAGUAGGGUUCUCAUCAAGAACACGGUUCUAUAUUAUUACAAUCUGCAAAAACAAACAUAUAGGUCCACACCGACAAUCAAUUUUAAAAAUUCCUUCAAGAAAAAAAUAAGAUGUAAAUGCCCAAGGAGGGCAUGUUUUCGAGAUAUCAAGUGGUGAAUGAUGAGUGGGAUUUCAGAAGCUUAAAGCAUUUUAGGGGACAAGUUAAUGUCCUGAGGACAUGUACAAAGAUCAAAAUAGCAGUUUUAAUGUUUUAAGUAACUUGAAACCUAUUUGUCUCUCUCUAUAUAUAUCAGCAGUUUCUCCUCUCUGCUUUCCAGUCAUUGCCAAACCACAUAAAUAAGAGUGAUAAGGCUUGAAACAAUAUUACAAGUCCUUUAUCUAACCAUAACAGCACUUUGAUGGUGCAGCUUUGAUGGCUCUCUCAAAUUAUUCCCACUUGUGCCAGACUAACAUUUUGAGAUACUUGAUUUUUUUUCUGUAAAGUAUAAAAUUUGGAUGAGUUAGAAUUGGGUAUACGAGAGAUAAUGCAUACUUAAAGACCAAUUCUAGACAUGGUAAGACUUGUCUUCUAAAUUUGUUUACUUUAUGAGCAAAAGAAAAUUUGUUUACUAAGUGAUGAUGUAGAUUCCUGAUAGGUACUUAAAUGAGUAAACUUAAAUAACACUUAUGCGAUGCCACAUCGCUUAACAAACCAAUUUAGAAGGUAUCCCCAGCAUUCCUCAUGCUUAAGAAUCAUGAAGCAUCUCUCAUAUACCAAAGCAUAUGUAUCAUAUAUAUAUUUAACCUUGUAAACGUUCAAUUUUUUUAUUUUUUAUUAGUUUUAUUCUUUCAAAGUGAAACGUUUAUUGCUAUGACUCAGACAAAAUAUGUAUUUAUGAAUGUGCCUUCCAAGUUGCUGUCCCAAUUAAUUGUGAUAUACUGUUGAUGCAGACAAAAAGAUUUACUAAGUUGAUAUUUGAAAUAGUGAUCUUUUACCAAGCUUUGGUGACGAUAGAUGUAAUGGAAAUUGACGACUCAAAUAAGAGUAAAAAAUGAUUAGGAUUGUUCUUCUUGUUGAAAUAGCGAUCUUAUCAAUUAAGAUUUGAGCACCGUUAAGAUUUAAUUAAGUUCAUUAUUCCAGUAGCAGGACAUAGUGUUUCUUGUAUAGAUGUUUCCUAUUUCAUCAUGUUUCUUUAGAAGUCUCCCAUGUUAAGUAAGGGUAGAAUUUCUAGAAUAAUUUAUAAAUUUUUUCUUUGAAAUCGCGAUGCAAUAAUACUCUUAGGUGUAAUGACUAAGAAACCCAUUUGAGAUGCUUAGGCAGUUUUAUGUCUGACGCCUUAAAAAAUUACCCAUUCUAAGUUGUCGUCCAUUGAAAGUUCUCUUCAGGUUCUUAUUAAGUUGAGCUCACUGUUUUGGGAGAUGUCAUCCUGCAUAUCAAUUUUGUGUCAUGGUAGAGACGAUAUGUUCUGAAUAAUGAGCUUCAAAGAGAACUUGAAGAGAAUAAACCAUUCAAAACGAGUAAAUUUCUUUUGGCAUCACAUCUACACUGUCUAAGCAUCUCACCUAGAGUUUUAAAAGUUUCACACUUUAGAGAACCAUUCUAUCACACAAGAAAGAGUUACAAUCAUCCUUAUAAACCCUUCUAGGAUUAAUCAUACUCCUAAUUCAGAUAGGAAGACUCCAAACAAGAAAUAGAAUUGAAAUAGAAUUCAUCUACACAAGAAACUUAAUGUCCCAUUUGUGACGUAAGUGGAAAAUUUAAUAAAAUCCCGAUGGUACUCAAAUCCUAAUUGAGAAGACUACCAUAAAAUUCAACUAAAAGAAUAAUCCAAAUCCUAGGUGUCACAAGCCAGUAACGACCAUCCUCAUCAAAGCUUUGUAAAAACAUAGGCUUGUUUGAUCUUGUUGCCUUCAUUAGUGGCUACAGUCAAUGAUUUAUCCUCAAUGUAAUAGAAAUCAUCACAACAAUCUCAAACAGAAACUGAUUCAGAAGGUUAAAAUAACACAUCGAGUGAGGUAAUUUCUUUUCAUCUCUUGCAAUGAAAUAACACUUAUAGAGUGCCGCAUCAUUUAGUAAACCAGCUCAGAAAGUAUCCCAAGCAUUCCUCAUGCUUAAGAACCAUGAAGCAGUUCUCAUGUGCCAAAGCACAUGCAUCAUGUAUAUGUAUUCUAACAUUGCGAAAGUUCAAUUUUCCAAAUUGCAACAUGUUUUUCUAUAGCCUAGCCAACAGAUGUAUCCAUGAAUGUGCCUUCCACGUUAGUGUUCCCAUCAAUAGAGAUAUACUGUUGAUGCAGAUAAAAGGAUUUACGGAGUUGAUAUUUGAACAUUAGCCAAAAGAUGUAUCCAUGAACUCCUUAGGAAUGCACCUAAUGUAUUAUCUUGGAAAGGUUAGAGUACUGACCAGAAUAUAUCGUUCCAUCUUAGCAUGGUACAUAUUCGCAUCAUUUGUAUAUCUAUGAUAUUGAUCAAUUGUCUUUCGGAUUCUGAAAAAUUUGCAAAGACAGCAUAUGAGCUCAGCCACCGCAAGUGCAUUCUCCAAAUUAAUCAGUUAUCAUCAAAACUAAAGUAAUCGAACAUUAAACAAAUUAAUGAUCAUUUUUGUGAAUCAAGCAUGACUUCUAGUGAAUAUGUAUCACUCACCCACAAACAGAACAUGCAUGAGGCAUAUAAGCCUCUGCAAGAAGCUUUUAGCUUCUAAGUAACUCAUUUGCAACGACAUGGAGUACUUGGAAAAGUCUGGGAUGUCCACAUUAUGCUUUGUAAAUAAUCAUGCCAAAAAUAUUUUUCUUCAAAUUUUAGCAGGAAAACGUUCAAGUUUACACUAUAAAAGUAUAUAAGGUGCGCACGUGAAGUAAAUUUAAAUUCGAGCACAGAAUGAAUUAUUGCAAUGUAUUUUGCCUGAGCCCAAAGGCUUCAAUAUUCCACAUGCCACUCCAUGUCAGUAAGAAGUAAGAACAGCACAUUAUGCUUAUAAAAUCAUCAGUUGCAUUGGGAAGCAAUACAAGGACUUAUCACUUCUCGGAGAAAUUAAAAGAGCAAGCAAUUUCACCUACAUCUAACUUGUGACUUCAAGUACUUCUUUUCCCGGUAAAUGAAAAACAGGGAGUACUUACACGGUGGAACAACUAAAAUGGCAAACAUGUACAAUUGCAGUCACAUUUUGACAUAUAUACUCUAUGAGUAAGAAAUCCAAGAGAUCAGUGUGUUGUUUCAUGUUAGCCUUAAUCUAUUAAACUAGUGAAUGUACUCGAUCCCAUAAAAUCACCACUACACAAAUCUAGUCAAGCUCAUGAUAUUAUUCAACUUUGAAAGCACUAUAUAGUUAUAAGUUCCUAAAGUUGAAGAUGUCAAGACUUGUUUCACAGGCUUUUGUUUAGGUUUAAAGUACCAUUAAAAAAUCAACUAGAAAGUCUUUUGCAGGUUUUGUUUGAUUCAGAAAAAAGAGAUUAAUUAUGCUUUAAGUUUCGAUUCAAUGAACCACGAUUUGAAAUGCUUCUUGAUUAUGGCAGUAGAUAGAUAACAUGUUAUUCGAAUUCCCAAAACACAUAAUGGGUUCAGUCCACGAUCGAAGGGGAAAAGCACUAAACGUUUGACCAAAACACAUGAUGCUGUCCCUUAUUUACACUUUACAGACACACAGCAUAUAUAUGUGCAUAUGCGCUCAUUUUUGAUAUAAGAAUGUUAAAAGCUACUCGAAAAAUUAUAAAUUCAGUACGUGAACAUACUCAGAAUUGCUCGAGAACUUGUAAAGCCUUCCUUUCUGUGAAAAGAUGAUCACGGCAACUUCCGCAUCGCAGAGGACCGAGAGCUCAUAAGCUUUCUUCAGUAGUCCAGUCCGGCGCUUUGAGAAGGUGACUUGCCGGCCCGUUGCAUUCUCAAUUCGCCUCAUCUGAAUUUUGCCUCUUGCCAUGAUUAAAUUUCCCUACGUAUAUGAUGGUUAUCAACCCUAGAAUGACAAGUACUCAAACAUAGCGUUGAACAUAACAAAUAUACCACAACGAUCAAACACAAGGACUCACCGGAGUCCUUGUGCAGCUUCAAUUAACUGAAGAUUUAUCUUUUUAUCACCUCCUAUUGUCUAGACUUUAGACUGAAGUUCUUGAGAAGCUAAAAACACUGCAAGACAAAUCACACCUUUUUUUCUUUUUCAAACAGACAUGAACUAUAUUAUCAUUUGAACACAAUCAAAAACCACGGGAUAAAGAUUUCACAAUCAAUGGUCGGAGAAUUAUAGAUUUGCCCACCGUAUUAAAGGGGAAGCAUCUCUACUCACUCUAAGAAAAAUGAACCACAAUAAAUUCAGAAACCCUAAAGAGCAAUGAGAGGGCGAAGACAAAAACAGAAAAAGGUGGAAUGAACGCAAGGGAUAUUUGGCAGUUGAUGGAUCCCUCUCUUUAUUUUGUGGCCACAAACGUAAAAAGACAUGAAAAAGCCUCUUAUUCCAAACUCAAGGAUCGUCUACCCGGGCCAAAUACGGUGUGAUGUACCAAUAAAAAGGAAAAACAAACAAAAAAGGAAAGGAAUAAGGAGCAAAGCAAAGCAUUCAAGUUCAACCGAAACGGCAUGGCUAAUUUGGUGAAGAUUCAAGAAGCAGAUGGAUUAUCUUGUUUUGCUAAAAUUAAGAAAAAGAGAGUAGAGAGAGAGGGGGAAAUUUUUUUGUUUUCUUCGAAAAAAAACGCAUAUUUUGCCAGUGGGUUUCAGCUUCAGCUGUUGCGGCCUGUGGGACACUCGAAAGAGAGAGCAGUAAGAAACGAAACGGGUGAAAAGGAGGAGAAAAGGUGGUUCGAUAAAUAUGAGAAUUGUCGACAUCAUCGUACCGUGACGUGCACAGCUAACUAAUGGGACGUUGACGAGAGGGAAAAAUUGCCUCUCACCCAAAUUGUGCCAAAUAGGAACAGCCUCGGGACUCUUCUUCAGUCGGUUCCUCUCUUAAUGGGUUUAUGAGCACUUGGAGAACUCGAAAUUAUUUCUAUGAGAAAUUCAUGGAUAAAUAAAUACAUAUGUUUCCUUUAGCUUAUAUUUUCUUUAUGUUCAUCUUAUAAUUCAUCAUUUUUUAGGGGUGUAAAAAAUACCUAAACCUUUUUGGUUCAAGUAAUAAGUAAAAGAAUUCGGACGGUUUGGUUCAGAUAUCAAAUUUUUUUUUUUUUUUUGCACAUGGCAGAUCAAAGGCUACUGACUAUGAUAUACUAAUCCUAGAUCACUUGAUUUUCUAAUUAGCAUAAAUGUAAUCUUUGAUGAGAGUGCUAUGUUUUGACAAAAAACUAAUAGAGCAAAUAUAUCAUGGUGUAGGUAGAGCUUGGAGACUCUAGAAAUUUCAAACACAAUGGAGCUUUAGACUAUACAUGAUGUCGUAGUUCCUAAAGUUAGUGACAUUGAACAACCAACAAAAUCGUAGCAUUCUAUAGUUGUGAGUAGACAGAGAAGGCAAAUUGGCUACCGAUUCAUUAUGAAUAUACAUAUAUUACUUAUACAUUAAUUAUAAAGUGGUAAGGUAGAAAUAUAUGAGCCUUUGUCUUAUUCUAAGACAAUAGCUAGUGCUAGACUAUUACAGUGACUAAAGACUAUGAGUAAAUAGAUGGAAUCAUUCCAUUGGAACUAGACAUGGAAGCUUGUUAAAAUAUCCAAGAGCCAUAACAUUAUUGGAAACAAGUGGGUCUACAAAUAGAAAUAGGGCAUUGAGGGAUAAGGUGAGACUUGUUGUGAAGGGGUAUACACAACGAGAGGACACUGGUUACAACGAGGUAUCUUCUUCUAUUGUAAGACAAACUUAUAUUUGAAUAUUACUUGUCUUAAUUGCUACACAAAAUCUCGAGCUGGAAUAGUUGGAUGUGAAAAUGGCAGUUUUUCAUGAUGAGUUGGAGGAGCCGAUAUACAUGAGGAAGCCAAAGGGAUUAAUUAUUCCGAGUAAGGAAAACUGUGUUUGUUUAUUAAAAAAAUCUUUAUAUAGGUUGGAACAGUUUGUUGGGCAGUGGUAUAAUUGUUUUGAUGCAUUUUUGGCCAGUCAAGACUAUAUGAAAAGUCAAUUGGACAAUUGUGUUUACUUUAGGAGAUUGGAGGAUGGAUUUUUGAUUUACCUAUGAUUAUUUGUCGAUGAUAUGUUGAUAACAAUCAAGAUUAUGUCUGAAUUGAUGUGUUGAAGAGGCAACUGAGUGCUGAAUUUGAGAUGAAAAAUUUGGGUGUUGCAUAGAAGAAGAAAAAUGUCAAAAACACUUAUUGGAUUAAUCGUAUAGAGAGCUUUUAUUUUGAAAAGAGCUGUAAGAAUUACUUGCAAUGGAGUUGUUUAUUUGAAAAUACCGUAGGUUUAAGUAUAAAUUAAGUGUGGAAAACAAUCGAGCAUGUAAACUAUUAUUAGCUCUAUUGAUUCUCUAAUUAUUAGUAGAUUAUUUAAUGCUAGCUCUUCUCAUUGGUGAGUUACCGAUACAUAGACCAAACAACAUAAAUUCUUGAUGUUUUUUCUUGGUCCUGACUUAUUUCUAUGGUGAUUUUGCAUUGAUUUAAUUUGCAAGAUCCAAUAUUUUCCACAUUAAUUUUACAAAUAUUUUGAUGGACGAGUCACCAUAUCACUUGUAAAAUACAAAAGAUGAGGACGACAUAGCUAAUGUAAUGUGGAUUCAUGAGGACACCAAAAGAACACAAACCUUUAAUUAAAUCGUAUAUCUUUACUAAUAUAUAAAGCCAAUCGUAUAUCUUUACUAAUAUAUAAAGCCAAUCGCAUAUCUUUACUAAUAUAUGAAGCCAAAGCACACACCUUACGCAUGUGACCAAUAUGCCCCAUUUACCAUGUUCCUACAUCACAACAAUUUUGAUCCUCUCAACUAUUCCCCAUUUUUUUUCAAUACUUAAGUACAUUUUAUAGUGCAGACAUCAACAUAGCUAGAGAGCAUCUUCCCUUGGCAAACUCAAUAUAGUGGCAUGUCUUCAAAACGAAGAUGGAAUCCAACUUCCACAACUGCUAAUGGUAAUUUAGUUUCUCGAACAAAAGGCAACCAUAACAAUCUCAAUGAAUCUUAUACAAAGCUAAAAGGCUCCUAAGUCGGAUUCAAAAAUCUAAAUACCAUACGAAUCACACAAAUAUUUGUUAGUUGAGAUGGCAGAUAUUUUCUCCUUUAGCAAACCAACAACCUUAAGUUGAGUUGACAAAUAGAGUGUGUUUAGAAACUCUAUCAUACAUAUGCCGAUCUUUCCACUACUCACAAUAUCUACACAUAGUAGUUGAUACUGAGAGAAGUAUGUAUGUGUUUGACUAAAUUAAGCAAUGGUUAAAUAUUGGAGAAUUAAUGCAAAAUCAUGCAUUGGCAUAUUAUACACAUCGUUGAUUGAUUAAAUAAUUCAACCCAAGGGUCAUUAUUCUGAUGUGUAUAAAACGGGUAUUGUGGAAAGUCAUCAUUUGGUAUAUUGGCAGUUUGGCUAAAAUUAUUGAAAAAGAAUGACUCAUUGCCAAUAGCAUUUUGCAUAAACAAGUAAUCCAAUUUUACUUUAAAAUAAAUUCAAAAAGAAUUCUUGUCAUUUUGAUCAAUGGGAUUCAUCCUAACAAAAUUUACAUUUAAAAGUACUCUCACUCGAUAUUGAUUUGCUUCCCCAUGUCACUUUCAUGGGCUUAUUUAACGCACAAAAUCCCUUUUUCUUAUUUGUGAGGACACUAAGGUACUUUUUUUGGCAUGAGAUUGACUCAUCCAAGACAAUGUUCUCGUUUUAAGGAAAGGAAUUAUUGUAAUGAGAUGUUUUAUAAAAGAAAAAUCACACUAGUAUUGGAUUAUAGCUGAAAAGCUGGCCAUGGUCUUGAUGUAGACCAACCCAAAUUCAUCCCCAACAAGUGACCGUGGAGAGGGCCCGUGGUCUUUCUAAUUCAAGCUUUUCUAUAGAUUUUUUAAGGGAAAAGACUACUAAAAACUCCAAACUUUGCUCAAAGUGACAAAUUUACUCCAAACUUUUUUUAUGAUAUGAAAAAUCCCGAACUUUGCCAACUGUGACACAUUUACCCUAAACUAUAUGGCAUUUUGGUUUUUUUUUCUUCUUCUUCUCUCUUCCCUCCGCCAGCCAUGGCAGAGUUGGUAGAGGGAAGCCGGCGUUUGGUGAGGGCUGCCCUCACCAGUGUCGCGCAAGGGUCGCCCUUGCCGUGGGCUAGUGAGGGUCGCCCUUGCUUGGGCUAGCUAGGGCCGCCCUUGUUGGUGUUAGGCGAGGACGGCCCUUAGUUGGGUCGGGCGAAGGCCUCCCUCACUAGGCCCUCACCAGCGUUGGGCGAGGGGUGCCCUUGCAGAUUUAGCGAGGGCUAUCCUCGCCCGACGCAAGUGAGGGCAGCCCUUGUCGGUGUUGGGCGAGGGCACCCCUUGCUGAACUUGGGUGAGGGAGUCUGGCAAAGGGGUGCCCUCGUUGGCGUCGGGCAAGGGCUUCCCUCACUAGAUUUGGCAAGGUUACCCCUCAUUGGACUCAAGCAAGGGAAUCUAGUGAGGGCCUGGUGAAGGAGGUCCUCGCCUAACCUAGCCGAGGGCUACCCUCGCCCAAUACUGGCUUCCCUCUGCCAUGGCCGAUGGAGAGAAGAGAGAAAAAGAAAAAGAAAAAAGAAAACAUAAAAAGACGAAAAUGCCCCUAGUGGGGGUAAAUAUGUCAUAAUUUGUGAAGUUUUGGGUUUUUCAUAUUACCAAAAAAAUUUUGGGGUAAAUUUAUCACUUUGGGAAAUUUUUUGAAUUUUUGGUGGUCUUUUUCCAUUUUUUAAUCACAAAAAAGGAAAACAAAGGGAAAAAUAGAAAGCUUAUUCAUAGGUUUUAUUUCCUUUUGUCUUAUUUAUUUGUGUAUCUUCUUAUUAAUUGCUAAGAUCGAUACACUAUAGAUCAUUGUCAUCUCAUGUGUCACUAAGUGUCCUUAAAUGUCUGUCCCUCCACUCCCCUUCCAAUUAAGGCAUCGUCGUAGGAACAUGUCAUUGCUCACGAGCUCAGAUACAAGCUAGCUUACGUCAGACGAAAAAAGUUUGACCUCAUUGUUUGGGAUGAGUUGCAAGUCUACUGAGUAGCCUCACGUUGCAACAUGACAAUUUUGAUUCUAGAAUAUUUCAGAUUUCCAUGAUCCUCAUGUCCGCAUAUGUGUAUGCUGAGGAAAAAUAUAGAGGUGACGGAUGAACAUUUUUUUGGCUUAGCCAACCUUUAAGAGGUCCGACCAAAAAAUAAAAUAAAUUAAAAACCUCAAAGAGGUGUCCUAAGAUGUUGAAAUGUACGCAGGCAGUCCAAAAAUAUGCUCAACAGAUGUUUCUUUCUUGGAAUCGACUGAUGUGUAAUUCAAAUGUGAAUGCCCAAGCUGCAGGCAAGUUAUAUCCAUUGUUUCUGAAUCUUUCUCGUAUAUGUCCUUGUCAUUGCUCAUUUCUAAUCUGAUCUUUCUUUGCCUUCGCUAUUCAUUUUCAAUAAGACUACCAUGAAUAUCAUGUACAUGUUGUUGCGAUAGUGCCAAGGAGAAUCCAGCUGAUUAAAGAUGUCACCGAGUAAUAUUGCUGUAAUUCGUAUACUAUUCUAUUUAACAGAUAUUAUUAGACUUGUGUCUGGUGAUGGCGAAUCAGCUUUUAACUCUCCGGCAAUCCAAUGAACAACCCAGUCUCAACAUCUGUACUCCGGCUGCUCCGGCUAUGUAUUGCUGCUGCUCUUGGAUGAGCCGUUGACUGCCAAGGAUUUGCAUAGCGCUGGAAUUGGAAGAAAGCAAAAAAGGACGCAAAACGCUCUAUUAAAUAUAUGAAACAAUAAAUGCAAUUGAAUAAUGAUGGGACCUAGAAACCUUCACUGAAUUAAAAUGGCAAAAAGCUGAAGCACAACUUGAGAUAUAAUCGCAUUGAACAGGCCUUCCACUGGAUCCAAAUUAGGUGAUGCAAGCAUCUAUGUCUAAGCACCCAGAUCUAGCAAUAGUCACUGGGAAAUUUCAAUUUUUCCCAACAUCUGACUCUAGAAGAUGCUUUCCUACGUUGCCCCAAAAAAAAAAUUCUAAAAGUGGUUAGCUGCACCAGACAUGAUUGCGAACUUUGGUUCCACCUAUAGUCCAUGUCUAAAGUAUUGACUAGUAUCUCAUGAUAGUAAUAAACUCUAUGUUGUGAUUUUUUUCGACAUGGGUCGUAUUUGAAGGCCGUUAGUUUUUGUUAUCAAGUCAGUAUUUUCUAAACAGAUCAACUACUGGUCACAAAAUCAUAAAAAGACAUGGGAACUUUCAGUCCUACAAUCACGUGUUAGAAACAUUAUAUUGUACUGGCUGAUAGUAAGUUGGGUAGUAGUUGUCUCAACAUUGAUUACUCAUGAACAUUGUGCUACUAAUUUUUAUUAUCAUAUCGGCAAUUACUAACUUUAUGAUAUUUUCACUAGGAAAGUUGAAUAUUUCCCAACAACCAACUCCGGAAUUGGUUCUCUACCAUUCUCAAAAAAGAGAAAAAUGAAGAAAAACAAAAGAAAAAAAAGCUCCAAAAGUGAUGAGGAUGCCGAAUGUGAUCACUAAGAACUUUGGAUCCAUCUAGUCCCCAGUUGGAAAACACAAAAUAAUCUUUCAAGAAACAAAUUUCUCAAAGUAUUGAUAUUCACAAUGUGGGUCGCUAACUUACUGCCAGUAACCUUUUUCUUUUCAAGUUAGUAACUUUCCAAGCAUAUCAAGUAAUGGUAACGGGAUCAUGGAAAGACACAGAUUUAGGUCCAUCUACAAUCCUACAGUCUCCUACAGAUAAUUGUAUCUCAUGAUCUUCCCUAAAAUUUGUUUUCCCAACAUGUGUUCGUAACUCUGCAUUAUUAACUUCUAUUAUGGAGUCAAAUCACUUUCUUAACAGAUCAAGCGCGGGACCAUAAAAGGACACAGAUUUGAGUUUGUCUACAGUUCCAUGUAGAAAAAGAAAAGUAGAAUUGUAUCUCGUGACAGCAAAUUUCUCAGUGUGGUGGUAAUUUUCUCAACUUGGAUUAGUAGCUUAAUGCUAUUAAUAAGUUUCAAGCAGAUCAUACGGUCUCAUGAUCAUAGAAUUCUUUGGUGAUGUUCAUUUUAAGUGCUCCUUCUAACUUAUGCCAUCAUAAACAAAACUUCUCACAGAUAUAGAAAUGUUCAAUAUAAAUACUGGUAUUUAACCCAGAAAUUAAGCAUCUCUCAUUAUGCAUUGUCCUUUUCAUAAGAACUGAUCAUGUUGCAGUACUCUUUAAAGGUGGUGGUAUCAAGAGAGCAAAAAGCAAGCUCCUCCCCUUCCUUUGUACUACAAUAAAUAGAUAGUGUUGGAAAUUAUGAUCCAUUUUCUCUAAAACUGUCUAGAAACUAUUAACUUAAUCAUGAAGGCGAGAACGUUGGUAGCAGCAUCCACGUUGAAGAUUGUCUAGAAUUGUUGAGAAUGGCGGUUGCUAGCUGAACCUAGAAGAUUCACGUGGGAAUGCAAGCAAGCAGAAGCCAAGUUGAAGAAGAAAUCCUAGAACAAGCUAGAGAAGUCUACGUGCAUGGAAAACACGUUUUCUUCAUUAGCAAGCAGCGGAAAGCAUGAAGCAAAGUUUCUUCAUCAAACUCCAGCUGUCAAGAACUUAUUGAAGAAGAAAAAAAGAAGUCCAAGAGAGGCUGAGGCGGUGAAGAAGAGAAACUUGAAUGAAAGUCAAAAUUGUCAUGCUUGAAGUCGGUUGUAAUUGCCUACAAGUAGGCUUGUAGUUCAUUCAUUUGGUGUAUGAGGUUUAGAGUUCCACCGUGUGCGGAGAAGUAGAGUUAUGAUGAUUUCUAUGUCAUGAAAUACUCCUCCAUUAUCAAAAUAUCUUGUACCAUCCAUUUUCAUCAAUUAGAUAAAUUAUAUCUCAUGUUCUUUAUCCUUGAAUUAUCCUAUCUUGUCCCUUGUCCAUCCACUACAAAUUAUAUCAUAUACUUGCGCACAUUACUAAUCAAAAACUAUCAACCAUAUCUAAAAUCAUGCUUCCGCACACAUCCAAAUUUUUAACAGAAGGUUUUAACACCAGAACUAAUAGAGAGUCAGACAAACUGAUGACCAGCACAUUUAACCAGUACAAUAAACAGGACAGCACACAAUCUACUAAUAUUGGUUUGAUGGACAAAAGCAGCAAGCUUCUUCACUAUACAAGCCUAUUAGAAUAUUAGGGAAAAGAACAUUCUUAAUCAUUGAAGACCACUCUCUGGUCUUAGCAGAUCAUAAAACUACACUGCUAGAUCAUAUAUGAAAUUCAUUGAGAGAUUCUAUUGCAGGUUUCACAAGUUUGUGGAAAGUGGUCAAUAUAUGCACAGAAGAGUGAUGAUGCAUGACAAGUGAUAGGAAGGCAAUAAAAGCACAGAUGUGAAAGAGGGCGACACCUUUGCAAGAAGCUUUGCAUUCUCUUCUUUCAGAAACCUCUCCUGAAUUACGCCAAGCAGAGUUGCUAGAUUUAUAUAACCGGGAACUUAAUGCUGGAUGAGAUCGGACAUGCAUUAAUCAUAUCUGUGCACUUACCUUUGCUUGUAACUGCUGUAUCUGAUCAUUGAAUAAUUGAGCCUGUAAAAGAGAUCCACAGAAAUAUUUUAACUUCCGUGUGCGUGCAUGUCGUCCCCAUACCUUUCUUAGUACAAGGUCAACAGAAAAAAAAAGUUGAGAAAAUAAGUUGAUGAUGGACGAUAGAAAUGAUAGUACAAUGCUUUGCAACUUGUUUAGAAACACAGUUCAAGUAAGAAGUUGUACACGGAAAUUGAUGAGGUUAAUAUAAUGAAAAACUCACAGUAUUCUAUUAUUUCAUGCUAAAGAAUACAGUUUUUUUUUUUUAAAUGUUAAUAAGUAUCAACUUGUGUCAAUAAGUGUCGAGAAACCAUUGGUAAAAAAUGAUCGCUGAUUAUUUUUUGUUAGAGAUAAGAAAAGUCAGUCAUUUAACCAAACCAAAUAAAUUUGUCAACUAAUCAAAUAAGAGUUGGUGACAUAGAAUAAGUCGGUUACUUAAUCAAAGAAGAGUUAGUAACUCCUAUAAUUAAGAUUGGUAAUUUCUAGUUGGGAUCGUAAGUAAGGCAAAUAUUUAUGUGUGUACGAGUCUUAUAAGUGAAGGGUGAGAAGGUCAGAAAGUAUUUUUACCAACAAAAUUUAUUUUAUGACAAAGAAAGCAAUAAAGAGAAAAAGAUCUGCUGAAGUUGUGGGCACGUAAGACACGAGAAAUAGUAGACCUCACUCUACACGUAACACAAUGUUUCCAUUCUAUCUCAAGAGUAGUCAUAGGGAGGUUAGAGUAGGAAAAAAUGCACGAAGAAACCCCAAAUAAGCAUUUGGUAAGUUAGUCACAUGAAAGUUGAUAACCCAAAAAGAGUUAGUAAAUUAAGAGAGAAGAAAAAUCUAAGAGUUAUUAAAAUAAAUAUCGGUAUGUAUAUAAAUAUAAAUACAAAACAAAUAAAAGUUGAUAAAAAAUUGAGAAAUAUUGUUAAUUGCACAUUGUUAAAAGGAAUUUGCGAUCUCAUAAAAGUGUUGGUCAGUUGCUAAUAAGUUAGUCAGAAAUCAGGUAAUUGAAAUUUUUUUUAUCGCAUUUUUUUGCCAGGUACAACUCUUUCAAAAGUUCAUCAGCCUGAAAAAAAAAAUCAUUUUUUUUUUUUUUUUGGAAAAGGGAACAAUAGAGUCGUCCAAAUAACUCUAGAAGAAUAACCAUAAUGUUUUCCUUAAUUUUUUUGGAAAAAGAGAACAGGUCAACAACAAUGCAGAAAAAGGGCGAUUUGUAAAUAUGCUUUCAUUCUCUCAGAUAAGGUAGAAAACAUCAUGUAUACUCGGAGAAAAAUUGACUCUCUCCUUUUAGAUGCCAAGUUUAACCAUUUUAGUCUAUUCAGUUUCAAUCUUACGAUACAAUUACAGUCUUUUCAAAUUGGUGUUUCGGCUCCUGUAUGCAUAUGGUCAGUCUUAUUUUUAGUCGUUUGAGGGAAAUUGUUUCUCUUUGUUUUCUUUCCCUUCUCACCAUAUCCAUGCCUCCAAACAGAACGGCUACUCGACGAAAGUUCUCAAAACAUCUUUAGGCUCAGAGAAAAGGACAAAUAUGCCAAAGACAAAUGUACCUUUCUUUCCCUAAUGCUGCUCAAACUUCGCUCGAGCUGAUUCCCUAUCUGUUGAAUUUCAUCGAUCGAGCAAGAUUCAACACAUUGUCCAGAUAGCUUCCUGAUGAAAAAAAGAAAAGGAGUACCAUAGUUUAGAGAAUUACAUAUCAAGUAUCCAUUUCAAUUUACAAUAAAUAAGAGAGAAGUCUCAAAAUUUGUGGACCGUAGAGAAACUUCAAGAAGCUCGAUCUUCCUCUCCAUAUCCAUGGUUUCUUGCUUCAGAUGCUGCGCAUAAUGGAGAUUGGAUAUCUAUGAAUCCAUUGAACGGAACAAUACAAACUGAACAAAUUUGAAAUUAGUAAUGGAUAUAGUUAACAGAUCUGUAACACCACAGGAUCCUACAAAACUAAGUCUCCUACUACAAGAACCCUAAUGUUCUUGCAAAAUUUGUAGCUGGACACAAACCAUAGUCAAUUCUAUGGCUUACCACCUCAGUAAUUCUGGAGAUCAAAAGUAGGGUUCUUAUCAAGAACACGGUUCCAUAUUAUUACAAUCUGCAAAUACAAACAUAUAGGUCCACAACAACAAUCAAUUUUAAAACUUCCUCCAAGAAAACAAUAAGAUGUAAAUGCCCAAGGAGGGCUUGUUUUCGAGGUAUCAAGUGGUAGAUGAUGAGUGGGAUUUCAGAAGCUGAAAGCACUUUAGGGGAACAGUUAGUGUCCUGAGGACAUGUACAAAGAUCAAAAUAGCAGUUUUAAUGUUUUAAGUAACUUGAAACCUAUUGGUCUCUCUCUCUCUCUCUAUAUAUAUCAGCAGUUUCCCCUCUCUGCUUCCCAGCCAUUGCCAAACCACAUGAAUAAGAGUGGUAAGGCUUGCAAUAAUAUCAGGAGUCCUUUGUCAAACCAUAACAGCACUUUGAUGGCGCAGCUUUGAUGGCUCUGUCAAAUUAUUCCCAUCUGUACGAGACUAACAUUUUGAGAUACUUGACUUUUGCUGUAAAGUAUAAAAUUUGGAUGAGUUUUUUAGAAUUGGGUACACGAGAAAUAAUGCAUACUUAAAGAACAAUUCUAGACAUGGUAAGACUUGUCUUCUAAAUUUGUUUACUUUAUGAGCAAAAAGAAUUAUUUGUUUACUAAGUGAUGAUGUAGAUUCCUGAUAGGUACUUAAAUGAGCAAACUUAAAUAACACUUAUGCGAUGCCACAUCGCUUAGCAACCAAAGUAGAAGGUAUCCCCAGCAUUCCUCAUGCUUAAGAACCAUGAAGCAUCUUUUAUAAACCAAAGCACAUGUAUCUCUCUCUCUCACACACACGCGCACGCACACACACACGCGCGCGCGCGCGCGCACACACAUGAAUGUGCCUUCCAAGUUGCUGUCCCCAUUAAUGGUGAUAUACUGUUGAUGCAGACAAAAAGAUUUACUAAGUUGAUAUUUGAAAUAGUGAUCUUUUACCAAGCUUUAGUGACGAUGGAUGUAAUGAAAAUCGACAACUCAGCUAAGAGUUGAAAAUGAUUAGGAUUGUUCUUCUACUUGAAAUAGUGAUCUUAUCAAUUAAGAUUUGAGCACCAUUAAGAUCUAAUUAAGGUCAUUAUUCCAAUAGUUGGACAUAGUGUUCCUUGUAUAGAUGUUUCCUAUUUCAAUCAUGUUUCUUUAGAAGUCUCCCAUAUUAAGUAAGAGUAGAAUUUCUAGAAUAAAUUAGAAAUUUUUUCUUUGAAUUCGCAAUGCAAUAAUACUCUUACGUGUAAUACCUAAGAAACCCAUUUGUGAUGCUUAGGCGGUUUUAUGUCUGUUGCCUUAAAAAAUUACCCAUUCUAAGUUGUCGUCCAUUGAAAGUUCUCUUCAAGUUCUUCUUAAGUUGAGCUCACCGCUUUGGGAGAUGUCAUCCUAUAUAUCAAUUUUGGGUCAUGCAGAGACGAUAUGUCCUGAAUAGUGAGCUUCAAAGAGAACUUGAAGAGAAUAAACCAUUCAAAACGAGUAAAUUUCUUUUGGCAUCACAUCUACACUUUCUAAGAAUCUCACCUAGGGUUUUAAAAGUUUCACAUUUCAGAGAACCAUUCCAUCACACAAGAAAGAGUUACAAUCAUCCUUAUAAACCCUUCUAGGAUUAAUCAUACUCCUAAUUCAGAUAGAAGACUCCAUACAAGAAAUAUAAUUGAAAUAGAAUUCAUCCACACAAGAAACUCAAUGUCCCAUUUGUGACAUAAGUGGAAAAUUAAAUAAAAUCCCGAUGGUACUCAAAUCCUAAUUGAGAAGGCUACCAUAAAAUUCAACUAAAAGAAUAAUCCAAAUCCUAGGUGUCACAAGCCAGUAACGACCAUCCUCAUCAAAGCUUUGUAAAAACAUAGGCUUGUUUGAUCUUGUUGCCUUCAUUAGUGGCUACAGUUAAUGAUUUAUCCUCAAUAUAAUAGAACUCAUCACAACAAUCUCAAGCAGAAACUGAUUCAGACGGUUAAAAUAAGACAUCAAGUGAGGUAAUUUCUUUUCAUCUCUUGCAAUGAAAUCACUUAUAGAGUGCUGCAUCAUUUAGUAAACCAGCUGAGAGAGUAUCCUGAGCAUUUCUCAUGCUUAAGAACCAUGAAGCAGUUCUCAUGUGCCAAAGAACAUGCAUCAUGUAUAUGUAUUCUAACAUUGCGAAAGUUCAAUUUCCAAAUUGCAAUGUGUUUUUCUAUGAAUGUGCCUUCCGCUUUAGUGUUCCCAUCAAUAGAGAUAUACUGUUGAUGCAGACAAAAGGAUUUACUAAGUUGAUAUUUGAACUUUAGUCAAAAGAUGUAUCCAUGAACUCCUUAUGAAUGCACCUAAUGUAUUAUCUUGGAAAGGUUAGAGCACUGACCAGAAUACAUUGUUCCAUCUUAGCCUGGUACAUAUCCACAUCAUUUGUAUAUCUACGAUAUCGAUCAAUUGUCUUUCGGAUUCUGAAAAAUUUGUAAAGAUGGCAUAUGAGCUCAGCCACUGGGAAUGCUUUCUCCAAAUUAAUCAGGUAUCAUCAAAACCAAAGUAAUCGAACAUUAAACAAAUUGAUGAUCAUUUUUGUGAAUCAUGCAUGACUUCCAGUGAAUAUGUAUCACUAUCACUCACAAACAGAACAUGCAUGAGGCAUAAGCCUCUGCAAGAACUUUUAGCCUCUAAGCAACUUAUUUGCAACGAUAUGGAGUGCUCAGAAAAGUCUGGGAUGGCCACCUUAUACUUUGUAAAUAAUCAUGCCAGCAAUGUUUUUCUUCAAAUUUUAGCAUGAAAACUUCAAGUUUACAUUAUAAGAGUAUAUUACGUGCGCACAAUAAAUUUAAAUGCAAGCAAAGAGUGAAUUAUUGCAAUGUAUCUUGCCCAAGCCCAAAGUCUUCAAUAUUCCACAUGCCACUCCAUGUCAGUAAGAAGAACAGCACACGAUGCUUAUAAAAUCAUCAGUUGCAUUGUGAAGCAGUACAAGGACUUAUCACUUCUUGAAGAAAUUAAAAGAGCAAGCAGUUGCACCUACAUCUAACUUGUGACUUCAAGUACUUCUUUUCCCAGUAAAUGAAGAACAGGGAGUACUUACACGGUGGAGCAACUAAAAUGGCAAACGUGUACAAUUGCAGUCACAUUUUGACAUAUAUACUCUAUGAGUAAGAAAUCCAAGAGAUCCGUAUGUUGUCUCAUGUCAGCCUUAAUCUAUUAUACUAGUGAAUGUAUUCGAUCCCAUAAAAUCACCACUACAUAAAUCUAGUCAAGCCCAUAAUCUUAUCCACCCUUCAAAGCACUAUAUAAUUAAAAGUUCCUAAAGUUGAAGAUGUCAAGACUUGUUUAGGGUUAAAGUACCAUUAAAAAAUCAAUUUGAAAGUCUUUUGCAAGUUGUUUGAUUCACAUUGAUUCAGAAAAAGAGAUUAACUAUACUUUAAGUUUUGAUUCAAUGAACCACGAUUUGAAAUGCUUCUUGACUAUGGCAGUAGAUAGAUAACAUGUUAUUCGAUUUCCCAACUAAUAUAAUGUGUUCCAUAUGAAAUUUCUAGUAUGGUCAUAAACUUGAAACACGGAUUUGUAUGAUUUGCAAGAUAACCAUUAUCAGAUAGGGCACAUAAAAUAGUCCCAAUUAUUGUCUAAGUGGUAUAAUUCUAACAAACUGAAUCAAACAAGGUAUGGUUCGAAGGCUCUUUUCAAUUUAUGUUUGGUUUUCUUCAACAUUUUUCCAACCAAUCAAAUUUGUUUGGAAAAAGGUCUACUUCGAAGAGAUUAAUACCUAACCACGAGUAUGCUUACUAUCAUCAUGCCUCGAGCUAGUUAAUGGAGAUCAAUCCCUGGAAGCAGCCUUAAAACCUUUAACUUCAAAAAGUGACACUAAACAGCACGUUCAUUUCAUCAAUGUGGAAUUAGGGUGAACGCCAAAUUGUUACUUGUCAAAACCAGAAGGAUCAAACAAUAUCAGUCCCUAGUCUCACUAACAUCAAAUAAUGUUUUCAUUACCCAAGACAAAGUACCAAUUAUCCUAACUCGUGAAGUAGCUGGAGGAGAUCAGUACUUGCAAGAUAUUCAACAAUUAGUUUUCUCAGAAGGACUAAAAGAGAGAGAGUCCAACUCCAAUGCAACAGCGUACACAAUGAAUGCUUCAUCAAAUCCCCAGUAUCUAGCCAUUUGACUAGGGUACAUCUCAGUACAUUGACUAUACAAUUAUAAAAAAAAAGGUGAAAACAUUAGAUUUUAUCUCAGCUACUUUCGAUUAGGAUAUCUGAACAGAAGUCAUAUUGUUUUUAAAAUUAUCUGAAAAUGAGAACUAGAUUAGUAAUCAUAAUGGGUUCCGUCCGUGAUCGAAGGAGAAAAGCAAACGUUUGACCAAAACCAAAAACGACAGAAAUGAAAAGGAGAAUAACAAAAAACCCAUGCCAUGAUGCUGUCCCUUAUUUACACUUUACAGACACAGCAUAUAUAUGUGCAUAUGCGCUCAUUUUGGAUAUAAGAAUGUUAACAUGACUCAAUCAUGUUCCCCAUCUAAAAGCAACUUGAAAAAUUAUAAAAUCAGUAUGUGAACAUACUCGGAAUUGCUCGAGAACUCAUAAAGCCUUCCUUUCUGUGAAAAGAUGAUCAUGGCAACUUCCGCAUCGCAGAGGACCGAGAGCUCAUAAGCUUUCUUCAGUAGUCCAGUCCGGCGCUUUGAGAAGGUGACUUGCCGGCUGGUCGUGUUCUCAAUUCGCCUCAUCUGAACUUUGCCUCUUACCAUGAUUAAAUUUCCCUACAUAUAUGAUGGUUAUCAACCCUAGAAUGACAAGUACUCAAACAUAGCGUUGAACAGAACAAAU